UCCUGCAGCCGGUAGUAUUUGCUGAUGCUGCUGGAGGGAGGAGUUCACUCUGCAGAACUGCAGCAGUACAUCGGUUGGUCCACUACUGACUUUUACUAUAAUUGGUUACCUCUAUCGGGUAUUUUUUUAUUCGGUUGAACUUAAGUUAGAAAACAUAAUAUGGACAAAGACUUUUACCAACGGGUACCGGACAUAUGGAAAACUGCAGCAGGAUCUACUGUGGAUCGCUGGGACUUAAGUCAAAAUGAGACCGAGAAUGUGUUUUAUCUCAAGCUGCUCCAGAGAAGUCUCCUACCACGCCAUACAUAAGAUCAACAUUGAAGCAUUGUUUACAGUAAGAAUAGGCACCAACAGAAAGACAAAUCCAACACUAAUGCACCAAGGAUCAAGGUGAUUUUUGGCAGCUUGGAGAAUUUUUCUUUAUCUGUCACAUCUGGUACAGAAUCUCUGACAUUUUGGUAUUUGUAAUGUUUAUUUUAUUAUAUUUGUAUACUUAUGCUAGAUAUUAAUAU